GAGUUUGAUCCUGGCUCAGAGUGAACGCUGGCGGCAGGCCUAACACAUGCAAGUCGAACGGCAGCACAGCAGUAGCAAUACUGUGGGUGGCGAGUGGCGGACGGGUGAGGAAUACAUGGGAAUCUACCCUGUCGUGGGGGAUAACGUAGGGAAACUUACGCUAAUACCGCAUACGACCGAGAGGUGAAAGCGGCGGACCGCAAGGCGUCGCGCGAUUGGAUGAGCCCAUGUCGGAUUAGCUAGUUGGCGGGGUAACGGCCCACCAAGGCGACGAUGCGUAGCCGACCUGAGAGGGUGAACGGCCACACUGGGACUGAGACACGGCCCAGACUCCUACGGGAGGCAGCAGUAGGGAAUCUUCCACAAUGGGCGAAAGCCUGAUGGAGCAACGCCGCGUGAGUGAGGAAGGCCUUCGGGUCGUAAAGCUCUGUUGCCAGGGAAGAAUAAGGGCUAGUUAACUGCUAGUCCGAUGACGGUACCUGAGAAGAAAGCCCCGGCUAACUACGUGCCAGCAGCCGCGGUAAUACGUAGGGGGCAAGCGUUGUCCGGAAUUAUUGGGCGUAAAGCGCGCGCAGGCGGUUCUUUAAGUCUGGUGUCUAAGUGCGGGGCUCAACCCCGUGAUGCACUGGAAACUGGGGAACUUGAGUGCAGAAGAGGAGAGCGGAAUUCCACGUGUAGCGGUGAAAUGCGUAGAGAUGUGGAGGAACACCGGUGGCGAAGGCGGCCUUCUGGACGGAUACUGA
rnacentral:rRNA from 1 species